GACGAACGCUGGCGGCGUGCCUAAUACAUGCAAGUUGAGCGCUGAAGGUUGGUACUUGUACCGACUGGAUGAGCAGCGCACGGGUGAGUAACGCGUGGGGAAUCUGCCUUUGAGCGGGGGACAACAUUUGGAAACGAAUGCUAAUACCGCAUAAAAACUUUAAACACAAGUUUUAAGUUUGAAAGAUGCAAUUGCAUCACUCAAAGAUGAUCCCGCGUUGUAUUAGCUAGUUGGUGAGGUAAAGGCUCACCAAGGCGAUGAUACAUAGCCGACCUGAGAGGGUGAUCGGCCAACUUGGGACUGGGACACGGCCCAAAAUCCUACGGGAGGCAGCAGUAGGGAAUCUUCGGCAAUGGACGAAAGUCUGACCGAGCAACGCCGCGGGAGUGAAGAAGGGUUUCGGAUCGUAAAACUCUGUUGGUAGAGAAGAACGUUGGUGAGAGUGGAAAGCUCAUCAAGUGACGGUAACUACACAGAAAGGGACGGCUAACUACGUG
rnacentral:rRNA from 1 species